UACGUAGGGGGCAAGCGUUGUCCGGAAUCAUUGGGCGUAAAGCGCGUGUAGGCGGCUCGAUAAGUCUGCUGUGAAAGUUCAGGGCUCAACCCUGAAAUGCCGGUGGAAACUGUCGAGCUAGAGUCCGGAAGAGGUGAGUGGAAUUCCUGGUGUAGCGGUGAAAUGCGCAGAUAUCAGGAGGAACACCAAUGGCGAAGGCAGCUCACUGGGACGGUACUGACGCUGAAGCGCGAAAGCGUGGGGAGCAAACGGG
rnacentral:rRNA from 1 species